AUUAUUCUGAAAAACAGAGAGAAAAGAAAACCAAAAACCAUUUCUUGGCUGGUUUGAAGAAAUUCUAAGGAGAUCCAAGUGAAAGCAAAGCCAAAGAAGUAGAUUAAGCUUAGUUCUAGCCUUUUUAUGAUAUUUCUUGGGGUUUCCAAGUGGUUUGAGGUUUAGAAAAGCUUGAAGAGAUUGUUUUCGCCGAAAAGUUGCUCGGAUAAGCACAUCAAUACCUAAGACAUCACUUGUUACACGGUGAAAUAUAUUGUGGACAAAAUGUAGAGAAAGAAAUAUGUGAAUGAUAUGAGGAGAACUGAAGCAUGGUCCUGACCCUGAUUUGUACAUAUGAACACAUCGACCUUUUUGUGGGUUAUUUCAGUUAUCAGUGAGAUGUUUGUAAUAAAGUGUGAAGUUAUGUUUUGAAAAUAAAUUGGGUUAUUUAAUACUUAUGUAUAAUAUGUUUGAGACACACUUUAUGUUUAAUGUAAAUAAGGUGAAAUAAGUUUUCAAGUUUUAAAAAAAAAAAAAAAAAAAAAAAAAUAUGUCCAGACUUCCGCAGAAAUAAAUUAUGAUAUAGUUUUAAAACGUAACACCUCAAAUAUGGUUUUUAACUAAAAUAAGUGAGGGUGUUACAGAGAUAUCUGUUCUUGAAACAGGAGUGGGAGGUCCCCACUCCAGCAGAUAUCUUAUACUUCUUCUGCCUCAAAGCCAGCCCGGAGCAGCGGGGGCGAGGUGACGGGUUCUAUUACUUAACCCGGUUUCCUAAUACAGCUGCGGUCAUCGAGCUGCCCAGCCACCCCAAUGACUUCAAAGACCAGUUCUUUAUGUCCAAGGGGUUUCGCAACUGCGAC